rnacentral:rRNA from 1 species
CUACGUGCCAGCAGCCGCGGUAAUACGGAAGGUCCAGGCGUUACCCGGAUUUAUUGGGUUUAAAGGGAGCGUAGGCUGGAGAUUAAGUGUGUUGUGAAAUGUAGACGCUCAACGUCUGAAUUGCAGCGCAUACUGGUUUCCUUGAGUACGCACAACGUUGGCGGAAUUCGUCGUGUAGCGGUGAAAUGCUUAGAUAUGACGAAGAACUCCGAUUGCGAAGGCAGCUGACGGGAGCGCAACUGACGCUUAAGCUCGAAGGUGCGGGUAUCAAACAGGAUUAGAUACCCUGGUAGUCCGCACAGUAAACGAUGGAUGCCCGCUGUUGGUACCUGGUAUCAGCGGCUAAGCGAAAGCAUUAAGCAUCCCACCUGGGGAGUACGCCGGCAACGGUGAAACUCAAAGGAAUUGACGGGGGCCCGCACAAGCGGAGGAACAUGUGGUUUAAUUCGAUGAUACGCGAGGAACCUUACCCGGGCUUGAA